GCCGGUUUAGCUCAGCUGGUAGAGCAGCGGUUUUGUAAACCGAAGGUCGCGGGUUCGAGCCCUGCAACCGGCACCA
rnacentral:tRNA from 1 species